GGCACUGACAGAGCGCCGCACAGCAGUGACACAGCGGGAAGCAGAUGGGGGCACGGCCACACAUCCCCCCCACCCACAGAGGUGGGAGCCCGAUUGCCACCGGUCCCACGAAGGCUGCGGAGGAGCGGGGCCCAGAAGCGUUAUAAUUCCUCCUCUCUCCCCCUCUGAAUUAGCACUGUGCUUGUGGAACACCAUUCUCCCGUUGGUGAUGCUGAAAUGGCUGUAGCAGCGGCUCCACCCCAUCGACAACGAUUUAAUAGCAGUUUUCGAGGCUGAAUCAAAGAGCUCUGCUUCCCUGCUCUUACACACAGCGCUGGCUCUGCUGAAUUCAUCACAAAGCAAACCUGUUCCAGUCCCGUACGUUUACUUCUUGUGCGAUCCUGUUCAAACAAAAGGGUGAUGAGAAAGCAAUUCCAGCACUGGAGCCCAAUUGCAGUUUGUGAUUCAACGUGGCAUCAUUCUCUGGCGUUCAUCCAGCAUGGUAAAGCACAGAACGGUGUGACACAGGGCCCAGAAUAAUAGCUUUCAACUAGAUCAGCAUUUAGCAGUGUUUGUUGGGAUUUCACUUCCUAAGUGUUAAGCAGAAGCUCUUACUGUGGCCAUUAGAUGUUGAAACUGAUACUCAAAGCGCUGCACGGAGCCACUCUUCUUCCCCUCUGCAAAAUUUGCUAAACAUUCCACUGAACAAAAAACUCAAGAUUCAAAUUUGAGACUGUAUUUAGAAGCACAGAGCCCCCUGGGACGAAGGGGGAGCUCCCUAAAGCAGGAACUCAGAAUGAAGUUGAGCAGAUCAAAAGUUUCUACCUAUGAACACACCACAGUCAAUGGGACAUAUUCAUUCAAGCAUGAAGAUUUUGAGUAUAGGAUUUCCUUCUUGCUCUGAAUGAGCUCUUCAGCAUGUACACUUGGCAGUUCCUAUACUGAAACUUAGUCAACACCUUAUUUCUCUCCAGCACUUUGAUGUAUAGCACAUGGUUUUAUCCCUAAGAAGCGGCUGUUGCAGACUAGGAAAUUAUUUUCACAGCUUAAUGGGUUGAAAGGCUACAAAACUGUCCUUAUUCCCAACAUACUGACCGUUUUCCUUUCCUAGGUUAGCAGUCACAAGAAAGCCACACAAGUCCAUGUCCUUUGUUGGUGUUCUACACAAGACAAAUUUGCAUCCAAUUGUACAUUAUUUGUUUUACCCAUGUUUGGUAGAACAACAGAAAACAGUACUUUAAGAAUCUUUUCUGCAUGCUUGCUUAUCCAAGGUACUUAAUUUGACAACAGUAAGAGUCACCUUGACUAUAUAUGUUUCAUUUUACAGAUAACUUGAUAAACCACAUUCUAUUAAAGAAGAUACUAUGGGAAUAAUUCUACCACACACAUCAAGAGCAACAAAAGCUGAAGAAAGCAGAAAGUUCUCCCUCUUGAGAGCAUUGAGCUCCUAAACAAAGGGCAAAUCAUCUUCUGUUCAGUCGCUGGUUGACAGCUAAAUAUUACAUUGCAAAAACCUUGACUGCUGCUAGUAGUUGAGUAAACUUGAGGAAGUGUCAAUUGUCACUUACACAUUAAUUACCACGUUAUUAAAUCCAUCCUGUUUGUAACCUUCUUCAAGGACUAAUUCCUCAUUUGUCCUCUCCCACCACUUUAUAUAUAAACAUGACUUUCAAAGUUACAAUAUGUUCUUAAGAAGAGCAGCAAGCAUCGGUGGCAUUUCAUUACCAGGAGCAAUACAACUGUGGUACAAAAUGAGGGUACUACACACUUCCAAAUUACAAAUACUUGUGAAAAAAAUACAGUUGAGCUUUUUCUUCCUCUUAUCUUUCCAGCUAUCCUGCCUUCCCGAGUGUGCAGUGAACAGUUUUCUUAGCACCUACCAUGUCUUUCAGUUAUCUUUUGGAUUCCCAGCCACUGCUCUUUUAAUGACAUUUUAAGCACUGUCAAUAAGAUCAUAGAAAUACAAGUUAGAAAUGUAAACCUCUUCAAGAUGCCGACCACCUGACUGAUGGCCACAGAAUUUUGCACUGAUUUUUUUUUAAUGUACAUUAGCAUUUCUGAAUACUUUUGCUGUUCCCAAUCCUAUAAGUGAACAUGAACAUCAUGCCAGCAGGAAUCCAUGGGAAAAUUUGAAUGAUGACUGCUCACACUAUACCCACCCAUUACAAAUCUUAUUAUUCAUUUUAGCAAGCUCUACUCCAGGCUAUUACGCCACACCAAUCACCAUGGGAACCUGACAUAUAAGUUCCAGAAAUGCUUCUGCUGUUCAGCUUCCCUCAGAUGUUGUAGUCAUCUGACUGCAGUUUCAAUAUACAAAAGUAAUUUGAAUAGUUAUAUCCAACAGAAUAAAGAAAUCCAGUAAAUGCAAGUAUCUUUAGUGCAGAGACAGUGUAUAGUACUUGAUAAGAAUAAGGAAAGCAUGGAUGAAUACUAUGAGAUUGAGAUCAGGAUGAGUUCAUUCCUUAUAAUGAGAGAAAUCACAGGGAUAACUGCAUGUCUUCUAGCAGAGGUAGAUAUAAGUAAGGGUUUUAUGCAUUGGAUCUGCUUGAUUUUCUCAGAGCAUUAUCCAUUCUAACCACAACAUCCCCAGGAAGGAGGAUUUUAAAGAUAGCAAUGAGUACCUGGUAUUUUGUCUCGUCACCUGUAUUUAAGAACAGUGACUAAGUGAGUUACAAAGAGAAAUUAGAUAGAUCCUGCUACAGGAUGUUUGCUUUUCUGAGACCAAAUACAAGCAUUUCAAAAGUUCUCUUAUAAAAGU